GUCCCGCAACGAGCGCAACCCCUGUUGCCAGUUACACGUGUCUGGCGAGACUGCCGGUAUCAAGCCGGAGGAAGGUGGGGACGACGUCAAGUCAGCAUGACCUUUAUGUCCAGGGCUACACGCACGCUACAAUGGUCGGUACAAUGAGUUGCCAAGCCGCGAGGCGGAGCUAAUCUCAGCAAAACCGGCCUCAGUUCGGAUUGGAGGCUGCAACCCGCCUCCAUGAAGUUGGAGUUGCUAGUAAACGCCGGUCAGCUAUACGGCGUUGAAUACGUUCCCGGGCCUUGUACACACCGCCCGUCACGUCAUGGGAGCUGGUAACACCUGAAGUCGGUGAGCUAACCCGCAAGGGAGGCAGCUGCCGAGGGUGGGACCGGUGACUGGGACGAAGUCGUAACAAGGUAACCAAGGGC
rnacentral:rRNA from 1 species